GCCGAGAUAGCUUAGCUGGUGGAGCGGCGGACUGUUAAUCCGCAGGUCGUGGGUUCGAAUCCCUCUCUCGGCGCCA
rnacentral:tRNA from 1 species